rnacentral:rRNA from 1 species
GCAAGUCGAACGGUAGCAUAUCUUGCUUGCAAGGUGAUGACGAGUGGCGGACGGGUGAGUAAUACUUAGGAACAUGCCUUUGAGUGGGGGAUAACUAUUGGAAACGAUAGCUAAUACCGCAUAAUGUCUACGGACCAAAGGGGGGAGUUUACUCCUCUCGCUCAGAGAGUGGCCUAAGCGAGAUUAGCUAGUUGGUGAGGUAAAGGCUCACCAAGGCGACGAUCUCUAGCUGUUCUGAGAGGAAGAUC